rnacentral:rRNA from 1 species
UACGUAGGGGGCAAGCGUUGUCCGGAAUCAUUGGGCGUAAAGCGCGUGUAGGCGGCCCGAUAAGUCCGCUGUGAAAGUCCAGGGCUCAACCCUGGGAUGCCGGUGGAUACUGUCGGGCUCGAGUCCGGAAGAGGCGAGUGGAAUUCCUGGUGUAGCGGUGAAAUGCGCAGAUAUCAGGAGGAACACCGAUGGCGAAGGCAGCUCGCUGGGACGUGACUGACGCUGAGACGCGAAAAGCGUGGGGGAGCAAACAGG